GGAGGGGGGAGGGGGGAGGGAUAGCAUUUGGAGAUAUACCUAAUGUUAAAUGACGAGUUACUGGGUGCAGCACACCAACAUGGCACAGGUAUACAUAUGUAACUAACCUGUACGUUGUGCACAUGUACCCUAAAACUUAAAGUAUAAUUAAAAAAAAUAAAAAGAAAGUGUAGUUAAAUAAUGGCUGUACUUUUGUAAAUUCUUCAUGAAAAGCACUGAUCAAUUAUUGAGUGAUCCAGCCAGCUUCCUCUUGUUAUCCAUCCCUGAAGCAAGUCCAAAUGCUUUGCCUAUAUUAUCCUAAUCAGGUGCCACUAAUCCCCUAGUGUCAACUAGCAGCAUGACUCACAGGAAUUAACCAGCCUCUCAUAAGUUCCUCAGAAAACCUAGCCCUUUGCCUUGAUAGAGCAACGACCCUGAAGUGUCAUAAGCAUCCUGAUUUACUAAGAAGGCUUACAUAGCAGACAUGGGCAUUCCAUCCAUCAUUUACAAAGCUCAGGUUAGGCAGUGCAACUCAGAAAAGACGCUACAAUCACUGACAUAUUUACUGUUUUCAAAUUAAUGGUAUAGUCUCCCAUUUAACCCACACAGUCUUUUUGUGAUAGAGUUAUUGUUAUUAUUAUAAUUUUAUUAUUAUUCCAAUUUCAGUUUUGCAAGUGGGAAAACUGAGUGGCCAGAGAAGCCAAGUAUCUUUGUGUGUGUGCCAAGAAUCUUCGAUAACACCACACAGCAAGGAACUGGCAGAGCUGAAACUUUCAACUAACCUUAGAGUCCUUCUCCCUCUCAACAUGUCUGAAACUACAGGAAGAAUCUUUCUAAAAGCAGCCCCCUAAAAUCACCAUCUCUAGGAAUGGUUAUAAAAAUAUUUUGAUGUGGAGAAAAAGGAUACAAUCUAAACAUUUGCCAUAGUGAAACAGCAGAACAUAUUUUCUACAUCGUAUAUCAGUCAACUUUCAGUAGGUUAUGCUACAAAACAAAUUAUCACAGCAAUUCUAGUAGUUGAAAUCAACAGAGAUGUUGCUCCCAUUCCCAUUCACAUGAGCAGAAUGCAGCUCUUUUCACAGCCUUUUCAUUCCAGGAUCCAGGCUGAAGGAUCACCUUCCAUCUGUGACAUGCCAGGAUAUAGCCAAAAUCAGACAGCAAGCAUAGAACCAUGGGGUGGCUCUUAAGGAUUCUGCUUGGACAUUGCCUGCAUAACUUCCACUCCCAUUCCAUCAGCAAAAAUAAGUCUUACGGAAAUAUCUGAUGUCAGUAGGGGGUGAAGUCAUCUCCUUUCAAAGGAAAGGCCUCCCAGAGGGGCCCUGUAGAUAUGGACCUAUUAGAGAGUGACAGCAAAUAUUUCAGACAACUCAAACAAUGUUUUACAUAUACAUACUAAGUAAUAGUAUGCAGGCUUUUGAAAAUGAAACAUUAAGUCUAUAGUUAAUGACCUGAAAAAAUAUUCAUGAUGAAUAUUGCUCUACGAUAAUUAUCCAUCUCCACCCACUAAUAUGUAAAUUCCAUGAGGCCAGACCUUUGGUCUGUUUUGCUCACAAAUGUAUCUUAACCACAUGCUGAAAAAAGCAUAGAUCAUCAUAAAAAGUUAUUAAAAUAUUGAAUAAAGGAAUUUUCCUCUAAGUACAGUUUUAUAGUCAUAUCGAUUUUGUGCAAUAUUUGAGCAAUCUUUUGGUCUUGAGUGUUUUCUUAUUUUUGACCCAGUAGAUCUUUAGAAAUUAUAUUAAAUGUUUAAAUGCACAAUUAUUUUUAUGUAUGGCUUAAUUACAUUGAAAUACUUAAAAUGAUGUGCUUGCUAAAGAGUUUUUAAAUUUGAGGAGUAUUUUCUUUAUAGUCUAAUGUACCACGAAUAUUCAUAAAUAUUCUUGGUAUAUUGAAGAUAAUGUGUAUUCUCUAAUUUUUGGAUGCAAGAUAUCUUUGUAUGUUAGUCAUUUUAUAAAUUGUACUGUUUAAUAAAAUUUUCUAUAGUCUCACCUUUUUUCUCAUUAAAUUAUUUAUUAAGAAAGUGAUAUUAAAAUAUCUCACUAUUAAUCAGGACUUAGACAUGUAUUUUUGUAACUAUCGAUUUGGUUUUAUAUAUUUUCAGGUUAUAUUAUCAAGUUUAUACAAGUUUAAAAUUGUUAUAAUUGCCUGCUAAGUUGAACCUUUUAUUGCUGUAAAAGAAUAUUUCUGUAUAAGUAAUACUUCGUUUGAAGUCUAUUUGUCAGAUACCUCUACAGCAACAAUAGCCUUACAUUGUCUCUUGUUUGCCCUUUAUAGCUUUUGUCCACCUCUCUCUUUUUGACUUCAUGUGUCAGCAUCUUUUAGAUCAGCUUCUGUUAAAUAAUGUAUUAUUAGAUUAGCUUGUCUAUCCUAUCUGGAAAUAUUUAACAACUGGCAAGUUGUGUCCAUUAUUGGAGUAGGCCAAUCACAUAGUAGGUCCUCAAAAAAAAUUUGUUGAAGGAAUAAAUGAGUAAAUAAUUUUUUUCUGAUAUAUUUGAGUUGUAAAUUUUAUAUUAACUGUAAUUAUAUAUAUGUAUGACUAACACAGGUAUAUAAGUAUUUAGAUUUCUUUAUACUACUUUGUUUUAAUUUCUACUUUUUUUCUGAUUUUCCCCGUUUCUUGCUUUUUUAUUAAAAUAACAUUUUAUUAUUACUUUUUAUGCUACUACUCUAAAAUGUAUAUACUAUAUUUGUCUUUUUUUAGUCAUUAAACUUUUUUUACCUAGUGAGUUAAUAAAAUAUACACAAUCUUAUCUUUACAAACCUAUCCUACAAUACAAAAGUCAGUUCAUCCCUUUGUACAUAUUUUUUUAAAUUUUGGUUGGGUGUUUUCAUUUCACCUUGCUUUCUUCAAGCCAAUAUUAAUGACUAUUAGUGCUGUUUUAGGGAACCCACGUUGACAUAGAUUUGCUCACAUACUUAUGGUUCCCCUCAUCACCAUUCACUGUGGCUUCACAGGCCUUCCCCACGAGGCCAGUUUUCUUCUUCAGGAGUGGAAACUUCCACGGUUCUUUCAGUGAGAGUUUGUUGGUGAUAACCUCUCUGCGGUUUUGUUCACGUAAAAUAUUUUCAUUUCACCUUCACUCUGAAAUAUAAUAUUGCUGGGUACGAAGUGUUACAGUAGUAGUUAUUUUACCUUCAGCACUCUGAAGAAAUUUGUUCUGUCUCUCGACUUCCACAGAGAAAACGGAGUUGAACUGCCAUCCUUUUAAAUAAUUUGACAUUUCUCUCAGGUUGCCUUUAAGACUUUUAUCUUUAUUUUUGAAGUACAGCAGUUUAACUACAAAGCAUCUAAGUUUGGGUUUCUUUUCCAUCAAGCUGGCUACCUAAGUCUGAUGAUUUCUGAAUUUUAUCAUGAAUUCCUUUUGAAAAAUAUUUCCCCCUAUCACCUCUAGUACCCCAUUUUUUCUGAAACAAAUUAGGCUAAACUUUUCCAUUCUACCCUUCUUUUCUUCUACUUCUUCCUACUUUACAUCUCUUCUCUCUCUUCUGAACUCUUGGCAAUGUCUUCCUGUCAAAUCCUUGCACCGAUUCCUCAAGCUGUCUUAUUUACUGUCCUUUACAUUGUCUCAAAUACUUUUGAAUUUCAGUGAUCACAUUUUCUUUUCUAGAGGUUCUAUGUGUUCUUUUAAAACAUGCCUGAAAUGCUAUUGGUAGUAUCUUAUUCCUUUCUCAUGGUUCUCAUUUUUUACAUUCUUCAACAUUUUAAACACACAAUUUAUA
rnacentral:lncRNA from 1 species